rnacentral:snRNA from 1 species
UUAGAAGCAACAAUACAGCAAGUUUAGCAUGGCCCCUGAGCAAAGGUGACACACAGAUUCAUGAAGCCUAGCGUUCCAUAUUUUA